rnacentral:rRNA from 1 species
UUUAAUUGAAGAGUUUGAUCAUGGCUCAGAUUGAACGCUGGCGGCAGGCCUAACACAUGCAAGUCGAGCGGCAGCGACUUAACUGAACCUUCGGGGAACGUUAAGGGCGGCGAGCGGC